CUUAAGGAACAAGGCCAUUUUCAUUGUGUGGAGAACAGUGGUGUUUGAAAUAGCAGGAACAGGCAGAAAGGAGGUUUGGUCACCUUAUUUUAAACAGCUAAAGCCACCCAAAUCUCUAUUUCUGUUCUCUCAUACCUGGAGUCCCAGCUACUUGGGAGGCUGAUGUGGGAGGAUCACUUGAGCGCAGGAGUUUGAGGCUGCAGUGAGCCAUGAUUGUGCCACUGCACUCCAGCCUGGGUGGCAGAGAGAGAUCCUUCAUCGUGGGCCAGGAUGAUGGCCUGUGCUAGCCGUCCUUGAAAAGGCGAGGCCGGGCUGAGGGUGCACUGGGUUUAGACAUAGCAAGUGUCUCCUGUCACUUGUGCCUAGUUCCUGGGGCCAUGGUCCUUGGAGCUGCUGCAUCAGAUUCUCCCAACCACUGUCCUCCUUGCCCUCAGCUUCCGUGACAACAGGCACUCCUGGUUUUCUUCCUACCUCUCUGGCUGCUCCUUCCAGUCUUUUUGCAGGUUCCCACUCACUUACACAUGCCUUAAAAGUCGGUGGGCUUAGGGGUAACCAAUUUAGGCAUCCCUCUCUUGUAGGCAUCCCUCUCUUGUAGGCAUCCCACUCUUCCUUGGGAUGACUUAGUGAUUACAUCCUCUCCAAGACUUCAGGUCCCAGUGUCCUGCGAUUGUAUGAGAUUUUAAUUUUGUUCGUUUUGCUAAUUCAUAUCUUCUGUAUUUGCUCUCAAAUUGUGUGAUUUUUUAAAUAAAUCAUUUUUAAAUAAAAUGUUUAUUGAUUGAUUGGGUAUUUUUAUCCCAACAUGGCUGGGAUCCUUAAGCCUCUUGGAGCUCCUUGGAGGGGCCCGAGAAGCUAGGACAAAAAUGCCUCUCACCUAUAUCCAGUUCGAAUACAUAGCCAUGUCAGUGGGAAGGAAAAACAGUUGCUCCUUUGGUAGAAAUGGCUACUGGAGGAAAUUUGAUUCAUUGAAGAACUUGGCUUGGGAAUUUGCAGACUGGUAGCACUCAUCAAGGCCUUGGAGAUCUUCGGAUUCUACCCCCUCAUCUUGGAAUCAGGAAACUGCAGGGGAUUGCCCAGGGGCACAGAUGUCCCAGGCUCCUGGGUGGGUUGGAACCAUCAAGCUCCCUGAAGAAAGGCUCCCAAGACAGGGAACAUAAUUAUUCCCCCAGGACAGAGUUGGACUUCAAGUGCAGCUUUCCACCAU
rnacentral:lncRNA from 1 species